ensembl:processed_transcript N4bp2os NEDD4 binding protein 2, opposite strand
CCCGCGCCGCCAACGUGCGGUCGGAACCCGCUGGCCUGAGCCCAAAAGAGCUGCGGCCUUUGCCAGUGUGGAGCUGGAGUUUUCAGAUUUUACAGAUGUAUGAUCUCUUACUGGAUUACCAACUCCUGGAAGAUAGGUUGUUUCCUGCUCAGCCUUGUAUCCCUCACUGCCAAAUUCAGAAACUUGUACAAAAGAAGCAGUGUGCUAUGUUAAAGAUGGGAUAAACAGGGAUAGC